AAAAAAUCACAGCCCUCUUCUUCCAAUGCAAUUCGCGAAGCCAGAGAGAGGGAGAGAGAUGGAGACGGUGGAUGGAACAGAGGGCUCAGGCAGGGGAAGAUAUGCGCUGAAGCCGAUGAGGAUCAACUGCGAGGACAUAUUGUUUUGCAUAGAUGUGGAUGCAGAGUCUCUUGUGGAAAUGAAAACCGCAGGCCCCUCUGGGAGACCUCUCACCAGAUUGGAGUGCAUCAAGCAAGCUAUUCUUUUCUUCAUCAACGCCAAGCUCUCUAUCAACCCCGAUCAUCGCUUCGCUUUCGCCACUCUAGCAAAAUCCGCCUCUUGGGUACUGGUUAUCUCUCUCAAUUACCUGUGCUUUGUUUGAUGAUUUGUUUUUUGUGAGAUUGAAUGAAAUGCGUGAGAUAUUUCAUUCUUGCUAAGGAUAUUUUUCUGCACUUAUUUUUUAGCGGAUAGAUGCUCCAGGUUGAUCACGUAUUCAAGAUAUCUGGAUGAAAAUUCACGAUUUCUCUCUGCUUCUUAUUAUAAGAAAAAUUUAUUCUAUUACAGUCAUGGAUAAUUAAUCAAUUGAUGUGGCUAACUUGCCACUAAUCUAGUUUGGGCUUGAAGGGGAAAAGUGCACUAAUGUUUUAGCAUGUUUCUGAUGCUUUAAAAAUUUAAAUUCGCAUUAGAUGUGAAAUUCUCCUGAAUUGUGAACAACAAGUUGAAUGGGCAUUCCCGGAACAAGGGAAUUUGUUUAUUUAGCUGAAGUACAGACCUUAUAAUUUACAAGAAAGUUCCUGUGUUGCUUGUUUGAUAUAUCAUAGCUUCGAAAAGAGUUUAGCAGUGAAGUUGAGUCUACAGUAGCUGCUCUUAGGGGGCUCUCAGCUACUUCAUCUUGUGGUCAAGCAGACCUCACACAUUUAUUUCGCUUAGCAGCUCAUGAAGCAAAGAAAUCACGUGCUCAAAACCGGAUUUUAAGAGUGAUUCUCGUCUACUGCAGAUCAUCUGUUCGACCGCACCACCAGUGGCCCAUAAACCAGAAACUCUUCACUUUGGAUGUGAUGUACCUCCAUGAUAAGCCUGGACCUGACAACUGCCCACAGGCGGUCUAUGAUGCACUAGUUGACACCCUUGAACAUGUUAGUGAGUAUGAGGGUUACAUCUAUGAGACCGGGCAGGGCCUACGAGUCCUCCUGCGUCACUUGUCUAUUAUGUUAUCACACCCUCAGCAACGUUGUACACAAGAUGACAUGGACAUAAAGUCUCUAACAAAGAGAUCUCCUGUAGCUGAUUCAGCAAAUGGUGAAGAUUCUGUUCCUAUAUCUAGCCAAUGAGAUCAUCAUCAACAAUUCAGUUUACAAUUUCAUGUUGUGUCUUUGUUUUUGGCUUUAUUUGUGAGCUACUAAGCUUUCUGCUGAAAAUGUGAACCUUUGGUUUUGUAUGCGCUACUGAGCUUUUGCUGAAGUGAGUCAGAUGCUUCAGCUAAUGAAAAUAUGUAGUUUAAAAUGAACCAUUAGCAAGAAAUUCAUAUUUACUAUCGUAGUUGUUAUUUAACGAACAAUGUGACUUGCAAAAGCCGAAUUGGUUACAGACUUCGGUCUCCCAGUCACACUUUAUUGUAGCCUACCAUCUUCAUCUUUCUCGUGUGAUGAAAACAUUGCUAGCAUACUAUACUGCAA
rnacentral:misc_RNA from 1 species